UGUGCCUACGGGGCGCAGCAGUGGGGGAUAUUGCACAAUGGGGGGAACCCUGAUGCAGCGACGCCGCGUGGGUGAAGGAGUGCUUCGGCAUGUAAAGCCCUAUCGGCAGGGAAGAAGCAAGACGGUACCUGACUAAGAAGCCCCGGCUAACUACGUGCCAGCAGCCGCGGUAAUACGUAGGGGGCAAGCGUUAUCCGGAUUUACUGGGUGUAAAGGGAGCGUAGACGGCGAUGCAAGUCUGAAGUGAAAGGCGGGGGCCCAACCCCCGGACUGCUUUGGAAACUGUAUGGCUGGAGUGCAGGAGG
rnacentral:rRNA from 1 species